rnacentral:rRNA from 1 species
CGCGGCCUAUCAGCUUGUUGGUGGGGUGAUGGCCUACCAAGGCGACGACGGGUAGCCGGCCUGAGAGGGUGACCGGCCACACUGGGACUGAGACACGGCCCAGACUCCUACGGGAGGCAGCAGUGGGGAAUAUUGCACAAUGGGCGGAAGCCUGAUGCAGCGACGCCGCGUGAGGGAUGACGGCCUUCGGGUUGUAAACCUCUUUCAGUAGGGAAGAAGCCUUUCGGGGUGACGGUACCUGCAGAAGAAGCGCCGGCUAACUACGUGCCAGCAGCCGCGGUAAUACGUAGGGCGCAAGCGUUGUCCGGAAUUAUUGGGCGUAAAGAGCUCGUAGGCGGUGUGUCGCGUCUGCCGUGAAAACCUACAGCUUAACUGUGGGCGUGCGGUGGAUACGGGCAUCACUUGAGUUCGGCAGGGGAGACUGGAAUUCCUGGUGUAGCGGUGGAAUGCGCAGAUAUCAGGAGGAACACCGGUGGCGAAGGCGGGUCUCUGGGCCGAUACUGACGCUGAGGAGCGAGAGCGUGGGGAGCGAACAGGAUUAGAUACCCUGGUAGUCCACGCUGUAAACGUUGGGCGCUAGGUGUGGGGUGCUGUCCAUGUACUCCGUGCCGUAGCUAACGCAUUAAGCGCCCCGCCUGGGGAGUACGG